ACUUCAAACUCAUAUGACACCUGAAAGGUUCUGAACACCAUUUUGUGAAAUAGCUUUGAGCAUCAAAUUGCUCCAGUUGGGAGGAAUUUAACAUUUUUUGGCCAAAGCUAUAAAACCACCACCUUUGGGUGCAGUGAUUGAAGCAGAAUGCACACUAAGAGGUACCACCGUUUGUCCACAAGGUUGUGUGUUAACAAAGGUUCAAGCUGAAAAUGCCCCACAGCGUGGCUGCCUGCAUCCCUGCUGUGCAUGCUGCAAUGGAGGCUCUCACUGUGGAGGUGACUAAAGAUCUGGGGAUCAUUUAGCAGCUGGACCCACCAAACGAGCAAAUGCGAUCCAUCAGCUCUCCAGGCCAUCAGGCGCAGGCAUCAGCCUCAUGGCUGCUGACGCAAGGUCAUGUUCCUAUGUUGCAAGAUGCUGCUGAGAUGGAGCUUCCAAGAAUACGGAGAACUGAGAAUGAUACAGAAUGCAGGUUGAAGCAGAGGGAUGGAGGAGAGUAAGAGUUGUCGCAACUGCAUCUGCUUUUUUUCCAGGAAGAGUUGUUGAAAGGAACACAUUGCAAGAAAAAAGAAAAUUUUCAACCACGAUACAGUUCCUUUUUAAAACUUCAUCAUCUGUGAAUGGUAAAAUAGUGCAAAAAGUGCCAAAUACUUCACAAUUUCCAAAGCCUGGGCAACUCAAAUCCAGCAUUGUACUGUCCAUGGACAAGGACUGGUCUGCCUCUUGUCUGCUCCCGGACUGCACAUACCUAACAAGCCCACUUCAUUUCUGCCAUUCCUGGUAA
rnacentral:lncRNA from 1 species